CACGUAGGCACCAAGCGUUGUCCGGAUUUAUUGGGCGUAAAGAGCUCGUAGGCGGUGUGUCACGUCGGCCGUGAAAACCUGCAGCUUAACUGUGGGCGUGCGGUCGAUACGGGCAUCACUGGAGUUCGGCAGGGGAGACUGGAAUUCCUGGUGUAGCGGUGAAAUGCGCAGAUAUCAGGAGGAACACCGGUGGCGAAGGCGGGUCUCUGGGCCGAUACUGACGCUGAGGAGCGAAAGCGUGGGGAGCGAACAGG
rnacentral:rRNA from 1 species